CAGCACCUCAAGUGGUCAGGAUGAUUAUUGGGCCUAAAGCAUCCGUAGCCGGCGCUGUUAGUUUUCGGUUAAAUCCAUACGCUCAACGUAUGGGCUGCCGGGAAUACUGCAAAGCUAGGGAGUGGGAGAGGUAGACGGUACUCGGUAGGAAGGGGUAAAAUCCUUUGAUCUAUUGAUGACCACCUGUGGCGAAGGCGGUCUACCAGAACACGUCCGACGGUGAGGGAUGAAAGCUGGGGGAGCAAACCGGAUUAGAUACCCGAGUAGUCC
rnacentral:rRNA from 1 species